rnacentral:ncRNA from 1 species
UAUUUUGGGUAAACACUUGCCCCGCUGUUGAGUGAUCAACAGAUGAAAAACUGGGUUAAAAUUGGAAGGCUAAGUUUUGCAAAACGCAUGAAUUUGUAGAAUAAGCUAAUCAAUUACCACUACUGGCAGAAAUGUCAGUAAGGUUUAACGACUAGAUAAAGUAAGCUAAGUUGAAUCGGCAUGAGAUCAUGACCGGUUUUUAAUAUGCCUAAAUAUCCACGAAAUCCAGCUCUCUUAACAAGAGAUGAAGAGAUAGUCUGAACUUAUGGGAAACCAUAAG